rnacentral:rRNA from 1 species
ACCGGAUACGACCCGCCACACUCAUGUGGAGGGUGGAAAGUUUUAGUCGGUCAGGGAUGGGCUCGCGGCCUGAUCAGCUUGUUGGUGGGGUAACGGCCUACCAAGGCGAUUCACGGGUAGCCGGCCUGAGAGGGCGACCGGCCACACUGGGACUGAGACACGGCCCAGACUCCUGCGGGAGGCAGCAGUGGGGAAUAUUGCGCAAUGGGCGAAAGCCUGACGCAGCGACGCCGCGUGGGGGAUGACGGCCUUCGGGUUGUAAACCUCUUUUACCACCAACGCAGGCUCGAAGUUCUCUUCGGGUUGACGGUAGGUGGGGAAUAAGGACCGGCGUAACUACGUGCCAGCAGCCUGCGGUAAUACGUAGGGUCCGAGCGUUGUCCGGAAUUAUUGGGCGUAAAGAGCUCGUAGGCGGCGUGUCACGUCUGCUGUGAAAGACCGGGGCUUAACUCCCGGUUCUGUCAGUGGAUACGGGCAUGCUAGAGGUAGGUAGUGGGAGACUGGAAUUCCUGGUGUAAUGCGGUGAAAUGCGCAGAUAUCAGGAGGAACACCGGUGGCUGAAGGCGGGUCUCUGGGCCUUACUCUGACGCUGAGGUAGCGAGAAGCAUGGGGAGCGAACAGGAUUAGAUAACUCUGGUAGUCCAUCCCUGUAAUACCUUGGGUCGCUAGGUGUGGGUGACUGUUCUCACGUUUCCCUCUC